UCGGACGCUCGGGCUUCAGCNCCGGGAGUGGCGCACGGGUGAGUAGCGCGUGGGAACCUGCCUAUCAGUGGGGGAUAACCGAGGGAAACUUCGGCUAAUACCGCAUGCGCCCCCGGAGUUGCUCCGGGGGGAAAGAUUGAUCGCUGAGAGAGGGGCCCGCGUCGGAUUAGCUGGUUGGUGGGGUAACGGCCUACCAGGGCGAUGAUCCGUAGCUGGUCUGAGAGGAUGGCCAGCCACACUGGGACUGAGACACGGCCCAGACUCCUACGGGAGGCAGCAGUGGGGAAUAUUGGACAAUGGGCGCAAGCCUGAUCCAGCAAUGCCGCGUGAGUGAAGGAGGCCUUCGGGUUGUAAAGCUCUUUCGUCCGGAACGAAACAGUGGAUGCUAACACCCUCCAUUAAUGACGGUACCGGAAGAAGAAGCACCGGCUAACUACGUG
rnacentral:rRNA from 1 species